rnacentral:rRNA from 1 species
GACGGAGGAUGCAAGUGUUAUCCGGAAUCACUGGGCGUAAAGCGUCUGUAGGUGGUUCGAAAAGUCCACUGUUAAAAAUUGAGGCUUAACUUCAAAGAUGCCGUAGAAACUUUUAAACUUGAGUAUGGUAGGGGUAGAGGGAAUUUCCAGUGGAGCGGUGAAAUGCGUAGAUCUUGGAAAGACCACCAAUGGCGAAGGCACUCUACUGGGCCAUUACUGACACUAAGAGACGAAAGCUAGGGGAGCAAAUGGG